rnacentral:rRNA from 1 species
AACGAACGCUGGCGGCAGGCUUAACACAUGCAAGUCGAGCGCCCCGCCAGGGGAGCGGCAGACGGGUGAGUAACGCGUGGGAACGUACCUUUUGGUUCGGAACAACUCCGGGAAACUGGAGCUAAUACCGGAUAAGCCCUAACGGGGAAAGGUUUAUCGCCGAAAGAUCGGCCCGCGUCUGAUUAGCUAGUUGGUGAGGUAACGGCUCACCAAGGCGACGAUCAGUAGCUGGUCUGAGAGGAUGAUCAGCCACACUGGGACUGAGACACGGCCCAGACUCCUACGGGAGGCAGGAGUGGGGAAUAUUGGACAAGGGGCGCAAGCCUGAUCCAGCCAUGCCGCGUGAGUGAUGAAGGCCUUAGGGUUGUAAAGCUCUUUUGUCCGGGAAGAUAAUGACUGUACCGGAAGAAUAAGCCCCGGCUAACUUCGUG